GAAAGAAGCUAAUGGUACCAUAUUACAUUUCAACUGCACCACAAGUCACAAAACGUUGGGAUGCUCAGUCGAGUUUCAUGUUAAUGAUGUUACUUACGACGAUAUAAGAUUUGUUGAUGACAAAUGCGUCCAUAAUAAUGGCAGAUGUCUAUCUAAUAUAUGCUAUUGCACCGAAAAUUGCAUGAUAUUUACAUUGAAUAUGAGUACAGCACCAAAUAAUUCUACAUUUGGUUGCGAAGCAAGAAUCUUUGUAAUCGGCACUAAAACUACAUAUUCUGUAAGAACAGCAGUCAAACAGAAUGGGGAAGAUUUUAGACUGUUUGAGAAGAUUAUAAUUCCUGUGAAUGUUGGAAAGAAUUCUGCCAGUUUGACACCAAAACAUAAUACCAAUACGUUAAAAAAAGUGAUGAUUGUUUUAGUGGUGCUGAUUGUUUUGGCUGUAUGUAUUAUUGGAUGCAUUUUAAUGGUGGUAAGGAGGACUGAAAGGAUAAGGACACAUAUCAGAAGAAUAAAACUGAAGGAAGAGAAAGAUCAUACAGAAAUUAGAGAUGAUAUUGUCCUGGCGAUAAGAAGUUCAUCAACACAAUACAGAACAACAGGUAUAGCUCAAGAUGAAGGACGACCAACUAGUAUAAUAAGUGUAAUAAGUAGCAGUUCAACGGAAACUUAAUUCCGAUCCGCCAAAAUGAAAGUUCACAUGGUAUUACAAACAGUCAGAUACACAUUUUUAACAGUUUAAUCUUAUUAAGAGAAAUACUAUUAUUGUUCAUAUGUUGUUACUUUAGAGAAAGUCAAUCAUAUUUAAUGUUGUAUGUGUGUCUUCCGCCAUCGUAGAUUGUAAAAAAGUGGAACACAACAGUUCUAGCUUUUUAAUUAGGUCCUAAAAUUGAUGCAGGAAUGCAAUUUACCAACAAGAAUUUCAAUUUGAAUCAACAAUUUCAUGUAAUCUUAAGUUUACAGUUACUCAAAAGUAGAAUAUUUUUGCUUGAUUUUAAUGUUUUUUUAUAAAUUUUGCGUAUUAAGGGAGGUAACUCAGAAAAGGUAUAGUUUGUAAAGCAAUCUUUUUCAAAAUGUUUCUAUUUUAUUUUAUAGCAUUAAAAGAUAAAACGUAAGAUGACCUCAGAUAUCUUUUCAUUUCUGAAAGUAUUUUUUGAGAGCUAUACUUCCAUAUUUUAUUUCAAAAUUAAUCAUUUAGUUUGCUUUCUAUUCACAUUAUACUGUUAUUAGUCUGUGUAAUCCAUACAAAAUGUGUUAUUUUGCACAAGCUGUAGCUUGAAGAAAGUUAGGUUAACAUGGUUACUUAUCAUUUUUAUAACAUUUUUGAACAUAUCACAAUAUAUACUACAUUUUGGCAAAGUAUAACAAUAUUCUCUUCAUUUUCGUGUAUACUUCCAUACCACCUUUAAAUAAAAAUAACACCCUAUGAACGCUUUUCUGGAUUAACCUCCAUCACGAGCGCUUAAACCAAAAAGGUUGAAACAAAUGGUGUAAAGAUUUCUGAAUAAAAUUUGGCAAAUUCCCUAAACGCCGAGCUUCGAUCACAUGUACAGGUAUGACGUUAAAAAUCCAAAUCAAGAUAUAUUCCAAAAAUUAUGCAGAAUCUCGUUGCAAUUUUUUUUUUCAAAAAUCGUAAAUUUACCUUGUUCAUAGUUAAAUUGAAAGCCAAUAGAUCUAGGACAAGUUCAAUUGUUAAAUUCUUCUCCUCUGAGUCUACAAGGCCCUUCUUUUUACAUGUUUGAAUAUCCAGGGAAAGUUACCUUACAGCAGUUCAUCAUUUAUUGAUGUUAAAUGUGCAAUGCUAACGGUAUCUUUAGCAAAAACAUUCGAUUGAACAUAGAAAUAUGAGAAAUGAAAUUUGCAACUUCUUCUCUGAAACAACUUGAUAUAUUUACCAAAACUAGCAUUUAUAAUUUAUAGUAGGGACUUUUUUAAAAUUCUCACAUGAUUUCAAACUAUUGGAAAACAUGUCUGCCUGUGACAAUCUUUAAUUCUGAUUUGCCAAUACAAAUAUAUCGUCUACACUACAACUACCAGUCGAAACAGGUGAAAUCCUCAUUUGAAGUUAAUCAGAUACAAAUAUGACAUCACUAAUUCAAAUUGAAACUGCAUGACUGGUCUAAUUUUCUUCUUUUUAUUUGAAAAGUUUGAUUUAAAGUUAACCAAACUUAGCAGAAAUAAUGUAUGGAAGGAACAGCAUUUCCCUCCGAUAAAAAAACCCAAACAUGACCAAACGGAAGAAUUAGUAAGUCUGAUAUGAAGAUAUUUUAUCCUCUCAGUUCCUAAGUAAAAUGUUUCAAAAUUCAGGAUGUCGAUGAAAACAAAGUCAUACGAAGCCAAAUUUGUGAAAACAUAUCUCCUUUUUUUAUAAUGAUCAAACAAGUAAAUAAAUCAAUAUAAGGUAUAUUUGUCAUGUGAGUGUAACAUGAUCAUUUAAACCUAUAGUUUGUAAUGUCAUUCCUUUUAUAGCUUAACAGUCCAUUUUUAUAUCUUAUAUAAGUUUAAUUGUUGAAAAUUGAAAAUAUCUAGUUAUUAGAACGUAAUUGUUAUUUUUUUAAGAUAUAUUGUAUACAUUCUGAUAAUAAUGAGUAAUUUUUAAGUAGCCCUGAUACAGUAUUUAAGAUAACGAUCUCUGUAAUUAUCUACUUGAUACCUGGAGAUAUAUUUGUUUUACAAAUUAAUUAAUUGAAUUAGUAAAUGACAGAAUAUCUCGUAUUUUUACAGCAGUACUACAUACUUUUUGUCAUUGCAAUGCUUACACCACUUAUUCUUGACCCUCAUUCAUAUCAACGUUAAAUUUUUCACUUCCAAACAAUUUAUGGGGAGCGGGAUCAAUAUACCGUUAUUUAUACACCAGACUAUACUGGUUACCGGAAUUUUGGAUACACCAAAUCAGGUACUUCAUAUUUGAGAAAUGGUAAAUAUAUGCACUCAAUUUUAAAAUUCAUUCAUACAAUUUUUUAAUUAUUUAAAAUUAUCAGUCAGUACGUGUUCUACAAGGAUCAACAGUCCUUCACCUUUCAUUUGAUAUCUUUAUACUAAAAUAUAUUAUACAAAGUUUUAGAUGUUGUUGCUUCGUGUUGAAUGCCUCAUUGGGACAUUGAGUUGAAGAAUAGCUAUAAAAACGCUGUUCCUAUGCUUUUUUGUGUGAUUUUUGCUGUGCAUGUACUGAUUUUGUGUCAUAGAUGGAUACCCAAUAUCCUUUGUUUUUUUCUAUUAGAAGCAUUAUAUGUAAACAGUAUUUUUAAAAAUAAUUUUUAUUUAGGUGAAUAUAUUUCUUAUACGUUAAAUAUACUCAAUGUUCAAGAUCUUUCUAUUUAUUUGCAUAUUCACUUCAAUAUUUUCUUAUUUUUUUUUAAUCAAUUACUUUUGAUUAUUUGUAUAUGCUGUAUGAUUCUGAUUAUUGCCGAAUACAUUUUAUACACACCGUUUCUUAAACUAUAAAUAAAAUUGUCGUUUUUCAGUGAUAGAAAAAUGAGCAGAGUGGUUAUCAAAAUUACAUUAUAUUAUUUAAAUCCUAUCAAUCUAU